CUCCAGCCUUGGCCAGCCCAGAAAAGGGCUUCCACAGUGCAGCGGCGGGCCGAAGGGCUCCUCAAGUGCCGCCAAAGUGGGAGCCCAGGCAGAGGAGGCGCCGAGAGCGAGCAAGGGCUGUGAGGACUGCCAGCACUCUGUCACCUCUCAGUACUAGUGUUCCUGAGCAGAGUGACACAGUCUCCUGCAGUUGAGGAUCAUUGAUCUAGAGCAUUGAUUACAACGGAAGGCGUCUAAAGGAUGAGGCAAAAGUGAAAGCCAGAUUAUGGUUGUAUGUUUUUCCUGUAAGCCACCACAAACCUUUUGUGCAAUGAGAUAGGUGAUGAAUAAAGCAUGGAUGAAUCCACGCAUUAGAUGAGUAUGUGAAGUGGAUAUGGAGAGCACAUAAGAACCAAGAGCAGACAGAGCCCUAAGGAAAGACCUGGCUGACCUGCCGGAAGGAAAAUAGGUAUUAGGAAUCCUGAAAACCAUACUUCAGAGGAUUAUGUAUCAAGAAAGUUGGGGUCUAGGUGAGAGUCUUGUGAUUUGGUUGAAUUAAAAUUAAUGCAGCACUUCCAGCCCUGCAGUCAUUCAGGAGUCCCCAACUUACUACCAGUGGGAGCCAGGUUGAGAACACACAGACCUCCCAGCCAGCUGUCUCUGUAUCUACAGAGUUGAACUGGACUUAGUUUUUGUAUGAUAUCUCUUGAAUGAACAAACUUGGAUAUUAUGGGGAAAAACUAUGUUUUGAUUUUAUAAAUGUUGUUAUUGAUAGGUGACAGGGAGGUAAUAACUGCUUAUUAGCAUUUAAUGUGUCUGAUCAUUCAAUUAAUCUUGUAGAAAUUACUCUUAGACUUUCAACAACAUGUAACUAUAAGCACAUAUCAUUUGUUUCAAUUUAAUACAGUGGCUGAAAAGGAUAUCUAAGAAUUGUUUGUACCUCUGGGCAUAUCUUAGUGAGAGACUUCUCAUAGCAUUUGUUUAAACCUUAUGAAAACUGUAUUUAGUCAUGGACUGACAUGAAUUGUUCAUUGGAUUCAUUAGGGAUUAUAUCUAAGAUAAGAUUUAUUGCAUUUAUAAUAAAAUGUGUGAAUGAAGAA
rnacentral:lncRNA from 1 species